rnacentral:lncRNA from 1 species
GGCAACCUAGGGUUUGCAUAUGGUCAUGUGUCUACUACAAGCUAGGGUUUCACUCUCUCUGAACGUAAUGGAGGCCAUGCACGCAUUGUAGCAUCAGUACACACUGUAUGGCGCGAGUUGUGGAUAUACUAGCAGGAGACUAAGGCAGGGAUCACUGUGCACACUGUAUUUGUAAGCUGUUGGCGCAACUUGCAUGCUGAUGAGAGAGAACAAUACACAUGAGAGCGGCAGUAUGGCGCAGGUUGGUUAACUCCUAACCAGGAGUGAUAACAGCCAUGCAUUGUUGUAUAUGGAAGCGCAAGUUAGAACUAGAAACAUUAUUCUAAGUCACCUGUCCAACACAGUGAACAUCAGUGAGGCGCAACUUUGGUAGCGCAGGUUGAAGGAGGCGCAAGUUUGUGGUUUUGGAGAGAGAACAGGGGGAGUGUUUGUAUGCAGGCGCAAGUUCCUUUUCCUUGGAUUUAUUCUAAGUCAUGCUAACACUCCGUGAACAUUAGUGGCGCAAACUCAUGCAAGAGCGCAACUUCAUCCAGGCGCCAACUCAAUUCUGUUAACUAGGGUUAGUUAAUGAGAAGCCUAUAAAUACUUGAGAUGUGGGUUCAUAAUUUACACACACUCUUCACCACCUUUAUGGUGGAAUGACUUUGUGCCUUGCACACUACUACACACAAAUAAACUCUAGCUUAGUUUUGUAUUAUAUAUAUAUUUAGAAGCUAGGGUUUGUGAGUGUAAGUAGUAGUAGCCAUUGUAGCCAACCUUCGGGUUUGGAUUUAUAGCACCUUCGAGGUAUUUAUCAAUAUACAGAUAUACCUUGGAAAAUAUUGUGUGUUGGUUUAAUAUUUUCAUAUCCUCAGAAACCGACCCAAUAAAUAUCCGGAACACGAAACACAUUACAGGACUGCAAUUUAUUUAUCCGCAAGAUUCGAAAGAAUUUUAAAUUGUAGUGAGUAUCGUAUUCAACCCCCCCUUCUACGAUACUUUGGACCUAACAAUUGGUAUCAGAGCAGGCUGAUUGAUAUACAAAUCAGGAUCCUUAUCGUACGGAAAAUCAAGAACCUAGCUUUUGAUAUUUGAUUAGGGGAAAUGUUCUUCCGGUUUGUGUUGCUGAAUUUGUCCGUAGGCCUAAGCAAGGAUUAUCUGUCGGAUACUGAACUUUGGACCGGGACUUAUAAAUUUAUACUUUAAAUUUUAAUAAGUUUAUUUUAUAAAUUUG